rnacentral:rRNA from 1 species
CUGAGGAACGAAAGCAUGGGUAGCGAAGAGGAUUAGAUACCCUCGUAGUCCAUGCCGUAAACGAUGUGUGUUAGACGUUGGAAAUUUAUUUUCAGUGUCGCAGUGAAAGCGAUAAACACACCGCCUGGGGAGUACGACCGCAAGGUUAAAACUCAAAUGAAUUGGCGGGGACCCGCACAAGUAGUGGAGCAUGUGGUUUAAUUCGAAGAUACGCGCAGAACCUUACCAACACUUGACAUGUUCGACGCGACUUUAAGAGAUUAAAGUUUUCGGUUCGGCCGGACGAAACACAGGUGCUGCAUGGCUGUCGUCAGCUCGUGUCAUGAGAUGUUGGGUUAAGUCCCGCAACGAGCGCAACCCUCACUUUUAGUUGCCAUCAUUUAGUUGGGCACUCUGAAAGAACUGCCAGUGAUAAGCUGGAGGAAGGUGGGGAUGACGUCAAAUCAUCACGGCCCUUACGUCCUGGGCUACACACGUGCUACUAUGGUAGAGACAGAGGGCAGCCACCUGGCGACAGGGAGCGAAUCCUUAAACUCUAUCUCAGUACGGAUCGGAGUCUGCAACUCGACUCCGUGAAGCCGGAAUCGCUAGUAAUCGCGCAUCAGCCAUGGCGCGGUGAAUACGUUCCCGGGCCUUGUACACACCGCCC